rnacentral:misc_RNA from 1 species
CUUGAUAGCAACCAACUUUCUGGUUCCAUACCUCAAGAAAUUGGCAUGCUCAGAUCACUUACAGAACUUGCUUUGUCACAGAAUAAUCUCACUGGUCCAAUUCCAGCUUCUAUCGGAAACUUGACAAAAUUAUCUCUUCUUUAUCUUACUGAUAACCAACUUUCCAAUUCCUUACCUAGAGAAAUUGGGAAGUUGACAAAGCUAACUCAACUCUUCCUUGAAAUGAAUGAACUUUCUGGAACUCUCCCUUCAGAGAUGAACAACUUCACCCUUUUGAAACUUUUCAUAAUAUAUUCAAAUAGAUUCACUGGCCAGUUACCACAAGACAUAUGCAUUGGUGGGGG